rnacentral:rRNA from 1 species
UACAGAGGGUGCGAGCGUUAAUCGGAUUUACUGGGCGUAAAGCGUGCGUAGGCGGUUAUUUAAGUCGGGUGUGAAAGCCCCGGGCCCAACCUGGGAAUUGCAUUCGAGACUGAAUAGCUAGGGUACGGUAGAGGGAAGUGGAAUUUCCGGUGUAGCGGUGAAAUGCGUAGAUAUCGGAAGGAACAUCAGUGGCGAAAGCGACUUCCUGGACCAGUACCGACGUUCAGGCACGAAAGCGUGGGGAGCAAACAGG